UCGAGCGGUAACAGCAAAGUAGCUUGCUACUUUGCUGACGAGCGGCGGACGGGUGAGUAAUGCUUGGGAACAUGCCUUGAGGUGGGGGACAACAGUUGGAAACGACUGCUAAUACCGCAUAAUGUCUACGGACCAAAGGGGGCUUCGGCUCUCGCCUUUAGAUUGGCCCAAGUGGGAUUAGCUAGUUGGUGAGGUAAUGGCUCACCAAGGCAACGAUCCCUAGCUGGUUUGAGAGGAUGAUCAGCCACACUGGAACUGAGACACGGUCCAGACUCCUACGGGAGGCAGCAGUGGGGAAUAUUGCACAAUGGGCGAAAGCCUGAUGCAGCCAUGCCGCGUGUGUGAAGAAGGCCUUCGGGUUGUAAAGCACUUUCAGUCAGGAGGAAAGGGUGUGAGUUAAUACCUCACAUCUGUGACGUUACUGACAGAAGAAGCACCGGCUAACUCCGUGCCAGCAGCCGCGGUAAUACGGAGGGUGCGAGCGUUAAUCGGAAUUACUGGGCGUAAAGCGUACGCAGGCGGUUUGUUAAGCGAGAUGUGAAAGCCCCGGGCUCAACCUGGGAACUGCAUUUCGAACUGGCAAACUAGAGUGUGAUAGAGGGUGGUAGAAUUUCAGGUGUAGCGGUGAAAUGCGUAGAGAUCUGAAGGAAUACCGAUGGCGAAGGCAGCCACCUGGGUCAACACUGACGCUCAUGUACGAAAGCGUGGGGAGCAAACGGGAUUAGAUACCCCGGUAGUCCACGCCGUAAACGAUGUCUACUAGAAGCUCGGAACCUCGGUUCUG
rnacentral:rRNA from 1 species